UACGUAGGGUGCGAGCGUUGUCCGGAAUUAUUGGGCGUAAAGAGCUCGUAGGCGGCCUGUCGCGUCGGAUGUGAAAGCCCGGGGCUUAACCCCGGGUCUGCAUUCGAUACGGGUAGGCUAGAGUGUGGUAGGGGAGAUCGGAAUUCCUGGUGUAGCGGUGAAAUGCGCAGAUAUCAGGAGGAACACCGGUGGCGAAGGCGGAUCUCUGGGCCAUUACUGACGCUGAGGAGCGAAAGCGUGGGGAGCGAACAGG
rnacentral:rRNA from 1 species